GUGGCGCACAGGUGCGUAACACGUGAGCAAUCUGCCGUCUGGUGGGGGAUAGCCGGCCUAACGGCCGGGUAAUACCGCGUACGACCCUGCGUUCUCAUGGAUGCGGGGUGAAAGCGGGCGCAAGCUCGCGCCGGACGAGGGGCUCGCGGCCUAUCAGCUUGUUGGUGAGGUAACGGCUCACCAAGGCGACGACGGGUAGCUGGUCUGAGAGGAUGAUCAGCCACAUUGGGACUGAGAUACGGCCCAGACUCCUACGGGAGGCAGCAGUAGGGAAUAUUGCGCAAUGGCCGAAAGGCUGACGCAGCGAUGCCGUGUGUGGGAUGAAGGCCCUCGGGUCGUAAACCACUGUCAGGGGGGACGAAUACUCGGCCUCGAAUAGGGGACCGAGGGUGACGGUACCCCCAGAGGAAGCACCGGCUAACUCCGUGCCAGCAGCCGCGGUAAUACGGAGGGAGCGAGCGUUGUUCGGAAUUACUGGGCGUAAAGCGCGCGUAGGCGGUCGAGUAAGUCGAGUGUGAAAUUCCGGGGCUCAACCCCGUGG
rnacentral:rRNA from 1 species